UGAAAAAAAUUGUUAUAGUGACAACAGUCAUGAUUACUUAAUAAAGUGGACAAUAACAGACACAACAAAAAAGGAAUUAGCGAAAUCGGUCCAGCCGUUCACGCGUGAUGCCGUGACCAAAAAUCCUCAAGCGAUUGCUGGGGGCCUCUUGGAGAGUUGUUGAUUGGGCGCGCAAUGCUGGAAAACGAAGAAUGUUUUAGCUACGUGAUAAAUUCUAUAUGAUUUUUUGUUGUAAAACUUUUGUGUGAAUGCAGUUGAACAACACAAUAUUUACCAUAUUAUCUAGCCAGUCCUAUAAAAAUAAACAAGAACAGAGCUUCUUCUUUAAUAGAGAGUGUAAGUUUUGUAAUUGGACAUUUAUGUAAAAUUUUAGUAAAUUAUGUUAGUUUUAAAUUAUUUAUUAAUCGUAUGUUAGGCUAGAUCGCACUGUUAAAUUGUGUCUUUGUGCAGAGAAUUUAUUUAAAAAAUCUAGCUUAGAGAUUUUAAUAAAUUAAAAAUUAUUAUGUAUGAUUAAUAAAGAGGUUUUUUUUUGAA